CCUACGGGUGGCAGCAGUGAGGAAUAUUGGUCACUGGACGAGAGUCUGAACCAGCCAAGUAGCGUGAAGGAUGACUACCCUCUGGGUUGUAAACUUCUUUUAUCUGGGAAUAAAAUGUUCCACGUGUGGGAUGUUGUAUGUACCAUAUGAAUAAGGAUCGGCUAACUCCGUGACAGCAGCCGCGGUAAUACGGAGGCUCCGAUCGUUAUCCGGAUUUAUUGGGUUUAAAGGGAGCCUCGGUGGAUUGUUAAGGCAGUGGUGAAAGUUUGCGGUUCAACCGUAAAAUUGCAGUUGAAGCUGGCAGUCUUGAGUACAGUAGAGGUGGGCGGAAUUCGUGGUGUAGCGGUGAAAUGCUUAGAUAUCACGAAGAACUCCGAGUGCGAAGGCAGCUCACUGGACUGCAACUGACACUGAGGCUCGAAAGUGUGGGUAUCAAACAGGAUUAGAUACCCUUGUAGUC
rnacentral:rRNA from 1 species